GCCGCCUGAUUACUUCUUCUCUAAUAGUUUCUCAUUGAGAGAAGGACAGCUGGUGGGGGUAGGCUGACAGUAGCUCAUCCACCAUCAGCACACUGGAAGUUAGCUAUGGGUACAGUGACAAAAUGGCUACUGUUAUCACUAACAGACUGGUGACACAAGAAACUCAUACAGACACGUGUGUACCUUCCACUGAGUUCCUUAAUUAAAGGGAUUCUUCAGGAUUUUGGAAAUGAAGCCCUUUAUCGACUUCCCCGGAGUCAGAUGAACUGUGUCCAGUAUGAAGGAAGUUGGAGGUAGUUUCACGAGCCAAUGCUACCUAGCGUUAGCGCAAUGAGCAAACACUAGUUAGCAACUUCCUUCAAACUGGACGCAGAGACAGAAAAAUGGUAUCCAUGAGUUCAUCUGACUAUGGGGAAGUCGAUAAAGGGCCCUGAAGUAACUGAAACUGAGAUACUACCAUAGUUCCUUUUUCAGUGGAACCACCACAACUAUCAAAAUCAUUUCAAGGUAAACUGUAUUUCUCUGUAUUGUACCACAGAAGGUCACAGUUUAUUUGGAUAGUUCAGAUACUCAUACCAUCAACAAACUAUCUGUUGAUAAGCAACUGCUUGCUAAGGUUAUGGUUAGGUUUGGAAUAAGAGUUAGGGUAAAGGGUUAAGGUUAGGAUUAGGUUUAGAAUAAGAGUUAGGGUAAAGGGUUAAGGUUAUGGUUAGGUUUAGAAUAAGAGUUAGGGUAAAGGGUUAAGGUUAUGGUUAGGAUUAGAAUAAGAGUUAGGGUAAAGGGUUAAGGUUAUGGUUAUGGUUAGGUUUGGAAUAAGAGUUAGGGUAAAGGGUUAAGGUUAUGGUUAGAUUUAGAAUAAGAGUUAGGGUAAAGGGUUAAGGUAAUGGUUAGGUUUAGAAUAAGAGUUAGGGUAAAGGGUUAAGGUUAUGGUUAGGUUUAGAAUAAGAGUUAGGGUAAAGGGUUAAGGUUAUGGUUAGGUUUGGAAUAAGAGUUAGGGUAAAGGGUUAAGGUUAUGGUUAGGUUUGGAAUAAGAGUUAGGGUAAAGGGUUAAGGUUAUGGUUAUGGUUAGGUUUGGAAUAAGAGUUAGGGUAAAGGGUUAAGGUGAUGGUUAGGUUAGGUUAGGUUUAGAAUAAGAGUUAGGGUAAAGGGUUAAGGUUAGGAUUAGAAUAAGAGUUAGGGUAAAGGGUUAAGGUUAUGGUUAGGUUUAGAAUAAGAGUUAGGGUAAAGGGUUAAGGUUAGGAUUAGAAUAAUAGUUAGGGUAAAGGGUUAAGGUUAUGGUUAGGUUUAGAAUAAGAGUUAGGGUAAAGGGUUAAGGUUAUGGUUAGGUUUAGAAUACGAGUUAGGGUAAAGGGUUAAGGUUAUGAUUAUGGUUAGGUUUGGAAUAAGAGUUAGGGUAAAGGGUUAAGGUUAUGGUUAGAUUUAGAAUAAGAGUUAGGGUAAAGGGUUAAGGUAAUGGUUAGGUUUAGAAUAAGAGUUAGGGUAAAGGGUUAAGGUUAUGGUUAGGUUUAGAAUAAGAGUUAGGGUAAAGGGUUAAGGUUAUGGUUAGGUUUAGAAUAAGAGUUAGGGUAAAGGGUUAAGGUAAUGGUUAGGUUUAGAAUAAGAGUUAGGGUAAAGGGUUAAGAUUAUGGUUAGGUUUAGAAUAAGAGUUAGGGUAAAGGGUUAAGGUUAUGGUUAGGUUUAGAAUAAGAGUUAGGGUAAAGGGUUAAGGUGAUGUUUAGGUUUAGAAUAAGAGUUAGGGUAAAGGGUUAAGGUUAUGGUUAGGUUUAGAAUAAGAGUUAGGGUAAAGGGUUAAGGUUAUGGUUAGGUUUAGAAUAAGAGUUAGGGUAAAGGGUUAAGGUUAUGGUUAGGUUUAGAAUAAGAGUUAGGGUAAAGGGUUAAGGUUAUGGUUAGGUUUAGAAUAAGAGUUAGGGUAAAGGGUUAAGGUUAUGGUUAGGAUUAGAAUAAGAGUUAGGGUAAAGGGUUAAGGUUAUGGUUAGGAUUAGAAUAAGAGUUAGGGUAAAGGGUUAAGGUUAGUUAGUAGAUAGUAGAUAGUUAGUUGAACAGUUAGUGAUAGUCUGUAGAUGUACUAUCCAAAUAAAGUGUCGCCCCACAGAAGCCUGAUAACGUGAUGUCAUAUCUGUGUGCCA